UUUCUUUCUUUGUGUUUGUUUUUUAGGACAUUGUUGGAAUUUUCACUAUUGUUGCUGUUGCUGCAUUGUUGUUCCGUUAGUCCUGGCUACUAGGUCUCGCUGUUCUGAAAUUGUUGCUUUUGAUCCUGAAAUAGAGAGAACUUUGCACACACAACGUAGAACAGUCUAGGCUACCAAUAGUUCACCACCCACAAUUGAGUCUGAUUCUGAGUCUGACUAUUUGCAUAACUU
rnacentral:lncRNA from 1 species